rnacentral:rRNA from 1 species
UCCACGCCGUAAACGAUGUCUACUAGCCGUUGGGACCCUUGUUGGUCUUAGUGGCGCAGCUAACGCAAUAAGUAGACCGCCUGGGGAGUACGGUCGCAAGAUUAAAACUCAAAUGAAUUGACGGGGGCCCGCACAAGCGGUGGAGCAUGUGGUUUAAUUCGAAGCAACGCGAAGAACCUUACCAGGUCUUGACAUCCAGAAAAUUCAGCAGAGAUGCAGAAGUGCCUUCGGG